rnacentral:rRNA from 1 species
UAUGUGAUCGUCUCUCGCAUAUCAAUAAGCGGAGGAAAAGAAACUAACAAGGAUUCCCCUAGUAACGGCGAGUGAGGCGGGAAGAGCUCAAAUUUGAAAUCUUAAAGGGUUUCCCUUUACGAAUUGUAGUUUAAAGAAGUGUUUUCUGUUGAGGUUUUGGUAAAAGUUCUUUGGAAUAGGACAUCAUAGAGGGUGAGAAUCCCGUAUUUGACCUUUACUUUCAACUUUGUGAUACACUUUCAAAGAGUCGGAUUGUUUGGGAAUGCAGUCCAAAAUGGGUGGUAAAUUUCAUCUAAAGCUAAAUAUUGGCGAGAGACCGAUAGCGAACAAGUACCGUGAGGGAAAGAUGAAAAGAACUUUGAAAAGAGAGUUAACCAGUACGUGAAAUUGUCAAAAGGGAAGCGUUUGACACCAGUGUUGUUUUUCUGAAAAUCAAUUAAAGAACUGUUUAUGCUAAGCUGUUUAGACUUUAUCAGCUAUCUGUUUAGUUUUGAGCUUUUCUUUAAUGCACUUUUCAGUUAACAAGUCAACAUCAAUUUCUUUUGCUGUAAAAAAGCUUGAGGAAGGUGGCUUGAGAUUCGUCUUAAGUGUUUAUAGCCUCUUGCCUAUGCAGUCGGAGAGAUUGAGGUCUGCAGCGUAGAUCCUUCGGGGCUAAAUGCAUUUGUGCUAAGUUAUAGCAUUUUAUAGACAACUUGUUGACUAUGAUUUGUCUUGUAGCUUACUCGCUUAUGUUAUUUUACCUACGCUUAGGAUGUUGAAUCUGUGCGAGACUAC